rnacentral:ncRNA from 2 species
UUUAUGGAGAGUUUGAUCCUGGCUCAGGACGAACGCUGGCGGCGUGCUUAACACAUGCAAGUCGAACGG